rnacentral:rRNA from 1 species
GAUGAACGCUGGCGGCGUGCUUAACACAUGCAAGUCGAACGAAGCACCUUGAUUUGAUUCUUCGGAUGAAAAUCCUGGUGACUGAGUGGCGGACGGGUGAGUAACGCGUGGGUAACCUGCCUCAUACAGGGGGAUAACAGUUAGAAAUGACUGCUAAUACCGCAUAAGACCACAGCACCGCAUGGUGCAGGGGUAAAAACUCCGGUGGUAUGAGAUGGACCCGCGUCUGAUUAGGUAGUUGGUGGGGUAACGGCCUACCAAGCCGACGAUCAGUAGCCGACCUGAGAGGGUGACCGGCCACAUUGGGACUGAGACACGGCCCAAACUCCUACGGGAGGCAGCAGUGGGGAAUAUUGCACAAUGGGGGAAACCCUGAUGCAGCGACGCCGCGUGAGCGAUGAAGUAUUUCGGUAUGUAAAGCUCUAUCAGCAGGGAAGAAAAUGACGGUA